AGACGUCUACAUUAGAUCCCGCGUAGUCCAGGGUGUAAACGCUGCAGACUUGGUGUUGGAAGCCCUUUGGGGGCAUUCAGUGCCGGAGAGAAGUUGUUAAGUCUGCUACUUGGGGAGUACGUCCGCAAGGAUGAAACUUAAAGGAAUUGGCGGGGAGCACCGCAACGGGAGGAGCGUGCGGUUUAAUUGGAUUCAACACCGUAAACUCACCAGGGAAGACUGUUACAUGAAGGCCGAGAUGAAGACUCUGUUAGAUUUUCAG
rnacentral:rRNA from 1 species